UGAAGGGUGAAUCCACACAGCAGCCAUGUCUGAUUCUAAUUUAGAGUCUUCUGAAAAUGCAGUUUCCUGGGCCCCACUCACACCUGCCGACUCUGACCAUGGGACCUGGGGAUGUACAUUCGUGACAUACGUCCCCAGGGGUCCAUCUGCAAAUAAUUCGUCACCGGAUUUUGGUGUCUAGUGAAUGGGUGGGUAGGGGCAGGAGUGGAUGUCUGGUGGAUGGAUGGAGGAUGACUAGAUGGGGGAUGAAUGGAGGCCUGGAUAGAAGACGGAUAGAUGGAGAGGUCAGUGCACAAUGGAUGGAUAGAUGGAGAGGUCAGUGGACAAUAGAUGGAUGGAUAGAUGGAGAGGUUAGUGGACAAUAGAUGGAUGGAUAGACGGAGAGGUCAGUGGACAAUAGGUGGAUAGAUGGAGAGGUCAGUGGACAGUGGAUGGACAGAUGGAGAGGUCAGUGGACAAUAGAUGGAUGGAUAGAUGGAGAGGUCAGUGGACAAUAGAUGGAUAGAUGGAGAGGUCAGUGGACAACAGAUAGAUGGAUAGACGGAGAGGUCAGUGGACAACAGACGGAAAGAUGGAGAGGUCAGUGGACAACAGACAGAUGGGUGGACAGGUCAGUGGACAACAGACAGAUGGAUAGAUGGAGACGUCAGUGGACAAUAGAUGGAUGGAUAGAUGGAGAGGUCAGUAGACAAUAGAUGGAUGGAUAGAUGGAGAGGUCAGUGGACAGUGGAUGGAUAGAUGGAGAGGUCAGUGGACAAUAGAUGGAUGGAUAGAUGGAGAGGUCAGUGGACAAUAGAUGGAUAGAUGGAGAGGUCAGUGGACAAUAGAUAGAUGGAUAGACGGAGAGGUCAGUGGACAACAGACGGAAAGAUGGAGAGGUCAGUGGACUACAGACAGAUGGGUGGACAGGUCAGUGGACAACAGAUAGAUGGACAGAUGGAGACGUCAGUGGACAAUAGAUGGAUGGAUAGAUGGAGAGGUCAGUGGACAAUGGAUGGAUAGAUGGAGAGGUCAGUGGACAGUGGAUGGAUAGAUGGAGAGGUCAGUGGACAACAGACAGAUGGGUGGACAGGUCAGUGGACAACAGAUAGAUGGACAGAUGGAGACGUCAGUGGACAAUAGAUGGAUGGAUAGAUGGAGAGGUCAGUGGACAAUAGCUGGAUAGAUGGAAAGGUCAGUGGACAAUAGACGGAAAGAUGGAGAGGUCAGUGGACAACAGACAGAUGGGUGGAGAGGUCAGUGGACAACAGAUAGAUGAACAGAUGGAGACGUCAGUGGACAACAGAUGUGUGGAUAGAUGGAGACGUCAGUGGACAAGAUAGAUGGAUAGAUGGAGAGGUCAGUGGACAACAGAUAGAUGGAAGGAGAGGUCAGUGAACAAUAGAUGGAUAGAUAGAGAGGUCAGUGGACAAUAGAUGGAUAGAUGGAGAGGUCAGUGGACAACAGAUGGAAAGAUGGAGAGGUCAGUGGACAACAGAUAGAUGGGUGGAGAGGUCAGUGGACAACAGACAGAUGGAUAGAUGGAGACGUCAGUGGACAAAAGAUGGAUGGAUAGAUGGAGAGGUCAGUGGACAAUAGACGGUUGGAUGGAGAGGUCAGUGGACAAUAGACGGAUAGACGGAGAGGUCAGUGGACAAUAGAUGGAUAGAUGGAGAGGUCAGUGGACAAUAGAUACAUGGAUAGAUGGAGAGGUCAGUGGACAACAGAUGAACGAAUGGAAGAUAGCUGGAGGAUGGGUGGGUGGAGGAUGGCUGGCUGGCUGGCUGGAUGACGAGAUGGAUGGAUCGUGGAUAGAUGGAUAGGUGGUGGAUGGAUGGAGAAUGGGCGGGUGGAGGAUGGCUGGUUGGCUGGAUGAGGGCUGGUUGGUUGGCUAGGUGGGCAGGCAGUUGUUUGUGAGGCAUCUCUUUUGCGUGAGGCACUGUGUGAACUAAGUGCUUUAUGUUCUGUGGUCUCAUAAGUGCUUUAUGUUCUGUGGUCUCCCAAUGAGACAGAACUCACAUGCAUCAAGUGAAAGUGAGGCUCUCACACCCCCGUGCAGAGGUGCAGGUGUGGAGGCUCAAACCUGGGCUGUAAGUCCAACUGGUGUUUGAGAUCUCUCUCUGAAUGCUUCUUAGCAAUAAAACAAGUCCUUCCCCACAACAAACAAAACCUCACAAAAAUCCAAGGACCAUGCCACUGCCACGCUGUGUGUGCAGCAGCCACCUCGCCAGGCUUUCCCCAGAU
rnacentral:lncRNA from 1 species